GACGAACGCUGGCGGCGUGGAUUAGGCAUGCAAGUCGAACGGUAGGAUACCUUCGGGUAUCUGAGAGUGGCGAACGGGUGAGUAACACGUAGGUGAUCUACCCUCAAGAUUGGGACAACCCAGGGAAACUUGGGCUAAUACCGGAUGAAAGCAGCAGUGAUGUUGUUUGAAAGGUGGCGUAAGCUGCCGUUUGGGGAUGAGCCUGCGCUCUAUUAGUUAGUUGGCGGGGUAAAGGCCCACCAAGGCGAUGAUAGAUAGGCGGCCUUAACGGGUGGUCGCCCACACUGGGAUUGAGAUACGGCCCAGACUCCUACGGGAGGCAGCAGUCGAGAAUAGUCUACAAUGGCCGAAAGGCUGAUAGUGCGACGCCGCGUGAACGAAGAAGCCCUUGGGGUUAAAGUUCUUUUAUAUGUGAGCAGUGCUUUCUAUGUGAACAGCAUGGGGAGAGAGAUAUUAGCAUAUGAAUAAGCAACGGCUAACUCCGUGCCAGCA
rnacentral:rRNA from 1 species